CUCGUAGGCGGUUUGUUAAGUCGGAUGUGAAAGCCCUGGGCUCAACCUGGGAACUGCAUUCGAUACUGGCAAACUAGAGUAUAGAAGAGGCAAGUGGAAUUCCAGGUGUAGCGGUGAAAUGCGUAGAUAUCUGGAGGAACAUCAGUGGCGAAGGCGACUUGCUGGUCUAAUACUGACGCUGAGGAGCGAAAGCGUGGGGAGCAAACAGGAUUAGAUACCCUGGUAGUCC
rnacentral:rRNA from 1 species